rnacentral:lncRNA from 1 species
AGGAAGCAGCAUGAUCAAACUGCACCCUGAGACUCUCUCCUCGAUUUGGUGAAAUCUGGAGAUGGGCCGGCUCAGAGGCUGUCUGUGCAGGGGAGGUGAUCCUUAAAUUGAAUUGCAGCCCUCCGAGGAGUGUUUGCCCCGUCAGCGGCUGCCAGGAUCUGACAUGUUAAUGGGGCUGAGGAAACAAUGGGUUUCAGAGGUAAUUGCUGAAGCAAUGACUUCCAGGCAACAUUUGACUUAAA